AAUCAACGCUGGCGGCGUGCCUCAGACAUGCAAGUCGAACGCGAAAGUUCCCUUCGGGGGAUGAGUAGAGUGGCGCACGGGUGAGUAACACGUAGGUAAUCUACCUUUGGAUGGGGAAUAACAACCGGAAACGGUUGCUAAUACCGCAUAAUGCAGCGGCACCUAAUGGUGACAGUUGUUAAAGCGGGGGGAUCGAAAGACCUCGCGUCUGAAGAGGAGCCUGCGGCGGAUUAGCUAGNGGUAAGGUAACGGCUUACCAAGGCGACGAUCCGUAGCCGGCCUGAGAGGGGCGGUCGGCCACACUGAUACUGACAUACGGGUCAGACUCCUACGGGAGGCAGCAGUCGGGAAUUUUGGGCAAUGGGCGAAAGCCUGACCCAGCAACGCCGCGUGAAGGAUG
rnacentral:rRNA from 1 species